rnacentral:rRNA from 1 species
GUGGGGAAUAUUGGGCAAUGGGCGAAAGCCUGACCCAGCAACGCCGCGUGAGGGAAGAAGGCCUUCGGGUUGUAAACCUCUGUCCUUGGUGACGAAACAAAUGACGGUAGCCAAGGAGGAAGCCCCGGCUAACUACGUGCCAGCAGCCGCGGUAAUACGUAGGGGGCGAGCGUUGUCCGGAAUUACUGGGCGUAAAGGGUGCGUAGGUGGCCUUUUAAGUUGGAUGUGAAAUACCCGGGCUUAACUUGGGGGGUGCAUCUAAUACUGGAGGGCUAGAGUGCAGGAGAGGGAAGCGGAAUUCCUAGUGUAGCGGUGAAAUGCGUAGAUAUUAGGAGGAACACCAGUGGCGAAGGCGGCUUUCUGGACUGUAACUGACACUGAGGCACGAAAGCGUGGGGAGCAAACAGGAUUAGAAACCCGUGUAGUCC